GGGUGCGUAACGCGUGGGAAUCUGCCCUUGGGUUCGGAAUAACUCGCCGAAAGGCGUGCUAAUACCGGAUGAUGUCGAAAGACCAAAGAUUUAUCGCCCAAGGAUGAGCCCGCGUAAGAUUAGGUAGUUGGUGAGGUAAAGGCUCACCAAGCCGACGAUCUUUAGCUGGUCUGAGAGGAUGAUCAGCCACACUGGGACUGAGACACGGCCCAGACUCCUACAGGAGGCAGCAGUGGGGAAUAUUGGACAAUGGGCGAAAGCCUGAUCCAGCAAUGCCGCGUGAGUGAUGAAGGCCUUAGGGUUGUAAAGCUCUUUUACCCGGGAUGAUAAUGACAGUACCGGGAGAAUAAGCUCCGGCUAACUCCGUGCCAGCAGCCGCGGUAAUACGGAGGGAGCUAGCGUUGUUCGGAAUUACUGGGCGUAAAGCGCACGUAGGCGGCUUUGUAAGUCAGAGGUGAAAGCCUGGAGCUCAACUCCAGAACUGCCUUUGAGACUGCAUCGCUUGAAUCCAGGAGAGGUGGGUGGAAUUCCGAGUGUAGAGGUGAAAUUCGUAGAUAUUCGGAAGAACACCAGUGGCGAAGGCGGCUCACUGGACUGGUAUUGACGCUGAGGUGCGAAAGCGUGGGGAGCACACAGG
rnacentral:rRNA from 1 species